AAGCGAAACCGCCCCAGCCGGGGCGGUCUGCCGGGCGUGGUGGCCCGGUACUGAUGAGCAGCCGAGG
rnacentral:hammerhead_ribozyme from 1 species